ACUUUCCCAUUCAGAAAACAAGUAACCAUGAAACAUUUGCAUACUUGUCUUACACCUUGGGGUAAAUAUGUCCGUCCACGCGAGCCCUCCUCAUUCAUUCCCGCCAGCUGUGACCUCAGAGUGACAUCGUGCCGUGAUCUACGUGUCCAGGAUUUCUCUGAAGCUACACCAUGAAGCUGUUUGUCUGCAUGAUGCUGGUGACGAUGGUUGUCAUGGCAACGCUGAUAGACGAUUCUGAGGGAUGGAGGCGUCGGCGCAGGCGCAGAAGGAACGGUGGAAGUCUGGAUGUCGAUUCAGAUGCUGACUCAGAGUUGAGGGAGGUUGUGGAAGAGGCGAGGUCGCUCCUGGAGGAACUUGAUGAGGCCAGUGAAUAUUUGAAUACACGGGAACUAGAGAACGAGGAAGUGGAGAAUAUACUCGUGAAUCAGGAAGAAUAUAGAAAAAGAAGAAAUUAUCCUUGUUGCAUAAGUGGAUAAGUAGAUAUGAAGUCCGUACAAAGAUAUCAGCCUUUAGGGCCAGGAGAGUUUGAUGUGUUUCGGGCUGGUGGAACGAGACUUAGUGUAGUUAGUUUGUUUUUUUGCGAUCUGAAACAAUACAACCUGCCUCAAGAUGAAGGAACUUUCAACUAAAACGAUAACAAGUAUUUCAGCAUAGCAUUUACCAAAACAUGUGCACAGAAUGAAGGUAUACUCGUUGGUAUGAUAGAUGUGUAUUAUUUUCACAUUUCAGAUAAGUGUUAAAUAUGAAUGUAGCUAAACAAUAAACGCAAAGUAUCGGAUAAAUAUAACGUUAUGUUAUAUGACAGAAACUAGAGACUGAUUUUGAUUAAAUGUUAUCACACAGUUAUUAUCAUAAUUUAUUCAUAUGAAUGUAGUCUUCUUCUUCUUAUAGACGUCACUGUCAUAGUUUACCAAAUAACGCUAGGUAUAUUUCACGUGAGACACAUUUAUAUUGUGCAGUUAUGAUGCACGUGUGUAUUUUGGUGCAAAUAAUUGGCUAUAGCUUUUGAAAUAUCAAAAUCUUCUGUUUAGGCUGUGUAAUCUUGUGGUUUACAAGUAAAAACUUCUAAGUUCUGCACCAUUGUCUUGUGUUGAUUUUUCCACAGCACAUUACUUUCUAGUUCAGUAUG